AUUUGCUUGAUACUGCAAAUAUAUGGCCAGGUCCGUUUCCAUGGUAUUUUAAAUGUUAAUAUGAAAAGUGAACAAAGACUAAAAUUCACUCCAGCAAACACACAAAAAUAAUACAGAAGGAAAGAUUGAAAGCAGCCAUGGUACAACCUCCAAAAAUGAAAACCAUGCAAAUUAGCCUUUGCAAACAUUUAGAAAUAGAGGUUGUUCGAAAUAAUGUCCCAAAAUGAUAUCAAUAACCCAAAUUGUGUGACCUUGCCCACCUAAACUUCAGCAGACCGGACAAAACAUGCCAAUCGUCUUUGCCUUUCAUCAUAUCCCGAUCAUUAGCACAUCCACAUGCGAGCUUGUUAGACGACAUUAUCAUGACGCUGAUGAAGAGCCAUGUAAUUUGCUUAGAAAUGCACAAAGCAAGAGAAAUAUCAGCAUAAAUAAUAAAGAAAAAAGCAUCAAGUUACUAUCUUCAGCUAAGUACUACAAAGCACCACAAGUUAAAAGAGUCAAAUUAUAUGUGUAUUCCCUCUUAAGUUCACAACAAAUGUACCAAAACUGGAAAACAUAGGCAAAAACCAUGUCUCGAUAACGGAUCUUGAAAUAAAGAAAGAAUGGCAAGUCUAAAUUGUAUUGCAUCUGUUAUGUAUCAGGCUAUCAUACAAGAGUGGUGGUUCUGCAAACCAAUUGGUAUUUUUCAGAAGUUGUGUCUCCAUAGGAGAGAAUGUGGCUAUGAUUAUGAAAACACGUAAACAUUCUAGUUUACUGCUUAGGUGUCAUGUAAAAGCAUUCAAAAUGAAAAUGUUGAUUUGCCAACGCAAAGAAAUAUAUAGGAAUACAAGUAGAUCGACCAUGAAAAACUUCAAGUAUUGUGCUAUGAGAAUAGUACUUCUACAUAGAUGAUCUAGUGUCUCCAAUUACAGAACUGCUUAAACCAAACUCAUGAUUAUGAUUUAACAAUGAACAGAACCUUCAAGUGUUGUGCUAUGAGAAUAGCCAGUAGAGAUUUUAGAAACCAUAAAAAUCAGAUCUUUUUGUGUGCGUGCCACAUCAAUCAAGCCGGACAUAUUACAGAGCAGAUGGUGGUUAAGGAGCAUUGCCAAUUUGGCAUCUUAAAAUUCAAAGCAUGGGUAUUAUGUUGCCAGACAGGUGUAUGUAAAGCUUCAGAAAUCAGGUGUGUGUUUUAGAGCAGGGUAUCCAACAUGACUAAUAGAGUAAUCACUAAACACUAAGCUGCCCUAUCUAAGUAAUCAGGGUACCUGGCCAAGCUUAACUUAAGCCACAUGGUUGACGAUGAAAGUAAACUGCACAUAGGUGAAUGCAAGGUGGAGUGUCCUGACCUGGUAACACAAUAAGCAUAUUAUAACAGAUGAUAUGAGCAGGUAUAACUGGGAAUAUUCAGGAGACUAAUUUUUAAAAGAUCAAAUAAUAUUCUUGAUUUAGUAAUAUAAGUAAGGUAUCCGAGUAAACAUAUUAAAUAUGAAUUUUGAUGUCAAUAUUACUGUGACCAUCGUAGCACAUGAGGCACCUGCCUAGUUCUUCUGUGCAUUUCAUCAAACACAUAACAUAGGCAUGGGGGAAUGGAGUGUUGAUUAUUUGUCUAAAGUAUGAUCAGACCAAUGGUGGGAUUAGUACCAUCUAAAGCUAGAAUAUACCAAUCCAAAUGGCGAUUCCGAAGUUCUUAAUGAGAAAACUAAUUAGUUCAUCAUAGAGCAAUACAUGUAGGUUUGGGAACAAUUAGACGCACAGACAGAUUACAGACCAUUUGCAAAACCUGACAAUUAAAUCUCCCCCCUGAAUUUCACAUAGGAGGACAUCGUACUGUCAUCAUUCAAAAUGUUUGUAUCUAUAUUAUUUUGCUCAUCAUGCGUACCAUGCAUAUGUUGUUGUUCAUCCUAUAUUCAAUCACAACAAUGUGCUACCAGGAACUCAAUUAGUGCUGCAGGAAAGUACUAAAUAUUGCGAUAAAAUUACUAAAUAUCACUAAUGGCUGUACCAGCCUAAUUGACAAACCAACCUAGACUAUAUUAGUCAAUAUCUAUCCUUGAAAGUCCUGCAUUCCCCCUCCCUUUGCCCUAACAAACCUCUGUACACUUAGCAGAUAAGUCUAACCUGAAAGUAUAGUAAUCAAAGAGACCAACUUCCAACCGAGAAAUGUGUCCUCCUUUUGCUGCCAGCUCAAAAAGGACUAAUGUGCCUUUACUUUCUAUGGAUCAAGAACACUUCAACAAAUUUCCACAGUCCACAUCAAGUGCAACAAACACCUCGCUAAGAUCCAUGAAUAUGUUAAUAUUUCCUUGCACUUCUAGUCGGCCAGUGCUCAUGACGGAAUACUUGUCAAAUUUGGCAAAAGACACACUACUCUUGCACAUAAACAAAUUUGGGCAAACACGAACUCGAGUUCCGAUCAUACCCAAUAUGAACAGUUUUGAACAAAUUCUGAAAAUAAAAAUAAAUUUGAUCAGAAACAAAUUAUCAAAUUAAUCGGCAUGUUUCCAUCUCUUUAGAUUCAGUCAUAUUCAGUCAAUUUCUCCCGCAGCACAAAUAAUUGGAAGCUGAAUCACACGGGGAAUAGAACAUAAUGGGAAAUUAAUUCACUCAGAGAUGGAGAAAUGGUGGCGCUAGGCGUGCGGUACCUAGAGGCCGUGCUGGUUGAGUCCCUUGACGGCGAUGGCGGCCCUUAGCAUCGAGCAUGCGGACAAAUGUCGUGUAGACCCCGUCGAAGCCGCCCUCGUCGCCCAGAUAUGAAAUGAAAGAGCCUGCAUUCAUUGUCCAAUUAUCCUUUGACCAUCUAUGUCACUGCAUCUGACCUCUACUUGAACUAUUACUAUUGAAAACAAAAAAUACACUGCAUACGUACCAAGAACAGUAAUCCUUGAUUUUCCUUUGCAUAGCAUAAUCAGAUAUUACAAAGGACAACACAAAGCUUACAUAGACAUGAUAACCAACAGAAGUGCAUGCAUAAAUCAGAAACUAUGGAUUAAAGAUUUACCAUCAAUUAGUUGGUCACUAAGAAGGACAUAUAUGGAUGGAUUCACUUAAUAGCAGUCACCAUGUAUAUCACAUUAUCAUCUAAUCAAGAAAAUUGCUUGACAAAUCAGAGAUUUCGAGUAAUGUUUGAACAAUGGCAUAAAAAGAAAUCUGAAUCACAGGUAGGUAAACAUUGCAAGUACUACAACUGACCAUGCAUAUUUAAACUGAUUUCCUUCAUGAGAAUUUCUAGUUCAGUACCCAUGUUUUUCUAAAUUUGGCAUGUGCUUACUAACAUGACAUACCGAGCCAUGAAUCUUAUUACUGAGCUCUGGUCAGCCAAAAAAUUAGAAGCUUUAAACCAAACAUGAGAUUAGUGUAGGCAGAUCAAAUGGUAAGAGGCCAAGAUACAAAUACUUCAAUAGUGUAGUAACCUAUAUGCAUCGUAUAAACCCAAGUCAUGCUUUCUGAAUGUAUAUAUAUAAGAUACAGAGUGGCAACAGAAGAGAUGCCAUAAUAGCAUCAGUUUCUUUUUGUAAAGAACAAUGGAUUUACACAUGCUAGUAAUUAACUUGGAGGAUCAUGUACUACACUGGCAAAAAUCUAAUGAUCCAACAUCACACUAACAUAUGUCAAUCACAAUAAAAAGUAUAAAGUUUUCUCAUAAAACAUGACUCUUGCCUAAUACCUGCAAAGCACAAUCUGGAUGGAACUAACAAAACCAAUCAAGCACAUAACCGUAGCAGCCCCUAACUCCCAGUGAAUGUUUAUUGACCAAUUCUCAAUUGCAUUCUGCAAAAGACAAACAAUAAUAUCAGUUUACAACCUGCUUGGAUUUUCAUCGAAUAUUUCUCAGUUCCUAAUUCAGAAAUGAUGUGACUGGAAUUUCCAAGUCAAUGAAGCCUAAUAAUUCAUUAAUAGGAUCAUUUCAUCUCAACAACUCAUAUUAAGUGAGUGUUAAUAUUUCAGCAGCCUGGUCAUCUAUUCACCUAAACAGAGGUAGACAAAGUUAGAACCAUAGUGGGGUUGCAACAUCCAACCAAACCCUGCAGAACAGUGAAAAUAAAACAAUUAGGCGAGUAGAUAAAAGUGUUAUUUAUUAGAUCCAGCAUAUACAAGAAAACAUCCAGAGGCAAUCAAAUUAUAUUCUGAUCAUGAUCAAAGGUGCAACACAUGCCAGUAGACAGUGUUGAUGCAAUAGACAGUGAAAUUUCCAUGAAGCUGGGAGGAGAUGUUUAAAAAUGUUGUGUGUCGUUUAAACACUACCAACUUAGAGAACUGAACCUCAGCAAGAACAUGAUCCUCUCUCAGUCUCUUCCUUUUAGAACCAAAUCAAGAUAAAUCCACUACAAACAAAUUUUCUUACAGGGCAACAGAGUUUCACCUUCUAGUAUGCAGAACAAUCCUAUCACUCAGCCAGUAUUAGGUCAGCCAUGGCCACAUUUUAUCCGGUGGGGAAUUAACUUGGGAUUCAU
rnacentral:lncRNA from 1 species